ACUUUUUCCUUCGGGGUCUCCCUCGGCAGACGCUGCAGAGGAGAGCAGAAACGGGGGCUGUGGCUUUGCCGGGCGGUCGAACGGGGCACCAAAGCCAACGCUCCUGACGCUGCAGAGCUUGCAGAGAGUUUGGAGCGGGGGAAGUCGUUGCCCUCUCGUACAUGGCAACCCGACCUAAUCACCGCAGCUCAGCAUCACCGAGAUGAAGCGGCGAGCGCAUCGGUUUUAACAGCACUAAAACCCGCCCGAGCCGGGGUGUCUCGGAGCGGCGGCACCGCGGGUGGGAGGGCGCGCCCAAGGCGGACGGGCCCCUCCCACCGGGAGCAGGUGCUCGGCAGCGAGCCGGCCGGGAUGGACGGGAGCCGGGAGAGAAGAACGGGAGCCGGGAGCGAAAGGAAAGGAGCCGGCCGCGAAGAACGGGAGCCGGGAGCGAAGGAAGGGAGGCGGCAGCGAAGGAAAGGAGCCGGGAGCGAAGGAAGGAAGGGAGAGAGCCGGCAGCGGACACGCGUCCUUGGGCGGCGAAGCGGGGCUGCGCGGGGCAGGGAGCGCUCGGGUCAGACAGCGGCUCCCCGGGCGCGGCGUGGCCAGCGGGACGGUCCUGCCGCGCUUCGGGGACUGAAAUAAAGCUCAGGCUCGUGUCAGCCAGGGAGCCCUCGGUCACAGGCACCUUUGCGUUUGCAGAGCUUGGGGGAGCUGAUGCAGACCUGGCUGACAGCUGACGGCACGCCCGGCUAGAAGAUGCUUUUCAGCUCUCCGACAGGCUGGGACAAGGGGAAACAGACACCGCACACGGCCACUGGGCCCUGGCAGCUCCUUCCCAGCCUGCGCUUUCUGACUGCCAGAGAUUUAGGGACUGCCUGUCUCAGAGAAUGGUCAGAGAAACAGAGGUUUCCUGUGACUGGGUGCAACACACCACCUCGGCAAGAUGGUAAAAUCACUCCGGUUUCAGGCUGUGGAGAUGCCCAUACAGCCCUGGCACAGCCACGCCAAGUUCCUUUCUGCUGUGCUGGCUGGGAAGCUGUCCGACAGAGCCAGGGGUGCUCCGGCAGCUGCCCCUGACGACCGUCUCAGAGGGAGACUUGUUCCCGAGGCUUUUUCCAAGGCUUGUGCCCGGCUGACGCUCCAUUCCCGGAGCAGCAGGGAAGAGCAGUGAUGCAUCUCAUAAGGAACCGUGAGUGAACCGAGCACGGCAGAACCGAACCGAAUUCAGCCGAACCGAGCUUGGCCGAACCCGGCAAGUGGCACCGAGUUCGGCCGAACCCGGCCUGCUGCUCUCGUGCCCGCUAAUUAGCGCGAGUGCGGUCACAGCCUAAUGAGCUCCUGCCCGACCCCGCUCUGCCGUCCGUGCCCGUGCCAUGGCCGGGCCGCCCGCGGGACGCGGCAGCAGGAGAGCUCCGAGCUGGGCGAGUUUAACGUGAGGCGGCGCCGCUUUCCCGCCCUCAGGGAGCCGAGCCGAACAGAGCCGAACGGAGAGAGCGACUCCGAAUUCGGCCGAACCGAGCCGAGUUCUGCCGAAGGCACGAGCAGCUCCGAAUUGGGCCGAACUGAGCCGAGUUCUGCCGAAAGCACGAGCAGCUCCGAGUUGGGCCGAACCGAACCGAGUUGAGCCGAACCAAAACAAGCUAAGCCGAAGGCAGCGAGUGGCUCCGACUUCAGCCGAACCGAGCCGAAUCUAACCGAAAACAAAGCUUACGGGUCAGGGAUGGUUUGUUGAGGAAUGCAGUAAAGGGAGGGACGUGAGAGAAGUAGGGAAGAUGGAGGGUAAAGGGGAGCCAAGGCAGUUUUGGGGUAAGAAGUUCAGCAGGCUGAGACAGCACAGGGAGGGCAAGAGGCAAACAGAGGCAGGGAAAUCAACAGGGAAAAUGCUUUGAUCCAAAAAUCCAUCACAGGCGCUCAUUAACGAGCACGAGAGCAGGAGGCUGGGUUCGGCCGAGCUCGAUUCGAUUCGGCUGAGUUCGGCUGAGCUUCGGACCACGAACUGGUCUGGUGUGAAAUGCGGCUCGGCUGCCCCCUCUCCACGCCGGGCCUCUGACAGCAGCGGCCGUUCGGGAACGGGGAAGAGCUGGGAUCGCUUCUCACCGGGAAUGAUCAGGGACCAAACCUG